UGCUCAGUCCUGGCCUCUCUUGUUUCUCAAGUCUUGACCGUGAAGCGUGAAGCACCAGACCUGUCCGCUCGUCAUGUCGAUUCCCUUCCUUUUUUCUCCUGAUUGCUCUUGUACUAGCUCACCAUUGUUGCCAGUACUUUUCUAUUUAGUUUUUAUUGUGAAAACGUGGGCAUAAGUUUGGGUUCUUUAUUGUUUCUUUAAAUUUUGAGAAAAUUAUUAAGUUUAUGUUCAAUUGAUACGGAAAUGAUGCGUUAUCAAUGAACUAUCUGAACUGCAAUUCAGUUGAUAGCCAAAUUCUAGUAAGAUCUGGAAAAUGUUCUCUGAUAUGAAAAUAAUGAAUUGUCAGCAAGCUGCAUGUACUCUUCACAUUCAAUUUUACAUGCGCUGUCUUCCAUUCUUACAUGGAUGCUUAGCAUUGGCUUAGGAUUCAUACGAUGAGCUCUUCCUUGGGAUUCAGGGGAUAUCAGAUAAUUGGAGAAAAUUAAUUAAUUCGUCCUUAUUUGUGAUUCUUUUCUUCUAGUGGCUUAUUCUUUUUUCUUUUUCUUUUUUUUUUUUUCUUUCAGGAAAUGGGUUGAUGACAUUAAGCAAUUAGCAAAGGGGCUGGGAGAGAACUUCACUGAUAGAGAUGGUUGAUGAAGCUGACCCAGAUUGUAAGUUAUUCUGCUUUUGUCCUGGAUUCAGUUUGCAGAACUCUUAGUAGUGGUGUGUUGAAACUGUAUUCACGAGGAAUUACUUAUUUUUUUCAUUGUUGUAGUUUGUUGAAAUUUGCACUCUUCUUAAUAAAAACAAAACUUUACUCAUUUUAACGUCUGAAGAUUAUUUGCUAGAAAAUAAAACUAAUAAUUACAGGCUCGAAAUUGUUGAAACUAUAAUAGAACAUUUUGACAAAAAUUACUUUUAUAGGAAUUAUUUGAGAACUGAAAGUGAAACAGUGAAAAACUAAGAAUAUUAUUGCUCACAGUCAUAACAUACAUAGAUGAUAGAACACAUAAAACAAUUGAAAUCUACUCAUCAGCAGUUGAAUCUAAACCCAUUUCAGACAAUUGUUCUUCUACAUGUUGUUCUUUUGGUUGUUCAAAUAAGCUGUGUUUGUUUGUGUUAAUCACUACUCGAAAUAGGAGUGGAAAUUGAAAAAAUAUAAAGAAAGUAACGGGGAUUGUGGAAAGAAUAGUGAGUGGAAUGUCAAUCCAAGAUAAUCGUUUUUGGAGCAGAAUAAAAAUGCUAGAGCCAAAGGCUAUCAUCAUGGUUACUACAGAGAAGAAAAGAGUAGAAAGGCCAAUGAUUAGUUUUCUGGGUAAGGACUUGAGGAAAUCUUUCUCUGCAUAACGUGAAGUGAGGAUACCAAGAAAUAUUAGCACAGAAGUAUUAGACAAGAAGAGUGAUAGUGCAUUUGUAAUGACAAAUAUUAGAAAUGCAUCAUAACCCAAGAAUAUAGGAAUGCCUGUGUCAUUUUUGGUGCCACCAGGAAUUGUAAAAGCUGUUGUGAACACAACGGUGGCAAUGAGAGCAGCCACAACCAUACAUGAAGCUGUGGUAUUCUUCAUCCAUCUUUCACCUUCUUUCAUCAACUCCGCAUGUUCCUUGGUGAAUAAAGUGCUAGGUGUAUGACCAUUUUCAUUAGUUCUUUCCAUGAACUUUGUUGGUACCAUGCUUUGUAUUUCCUAGGGCAAAAAAAAAAAAGUUCUUUUAAUCAAGUUAAUCUAGAGCCAAUUUGGAAUAUUGCUAUUUGAACUAUCAUUAAAAAAAAGGUUGGAUGCGUAAUUUGUCAUUUCACUUUUUUACAAAAAGUUAUUUUAUCCUCUUAAUUUUAUCUUCAUUUUAUUUACACCAACUUUCAAAUUGUGAAUAACUUAAUCCUACAAUGCAAGUGAGAGUAUAUAUCAUCCCCUUCACUUUUUCAAUUGUGAAAUAACUUAUUUCCGAUGUUGUGGGUGCUAAUGAAUAUCACCCUCCUGUUGCAGUGAUUAAGUUAUUCUAUAGUUUGAAAGUUGAAGAGGCAAAUAGAAUAAAAAUAAAGUUGAGGAGAUAAUGUGAUUUUUAGUGAAAAGGUUAGUGGGUAAAUUAUGCAUUUGGACAAAAUAAGAUCUUACAUAUAGAAAAAAAAAAGUUUAUGUUAAUUACAUGAUUUUAAUUCAAUUCAAAGUGCUUUAGUUAUAAGAACAUAGAAAGGGGUGCCUUUUUAAAAGGUGGAUUCAACAUGCAAUAUCAACCUGGCCAUUAAUUUAUAAAUUUAAAAUCUAGAAGGAAAAUUUUAAAUAUAAAGAUUACCUUAAACCAUUGUAAUUCCUUUUGCAUUUGUAGAGCUGCACCAGGGACCCGAUCGAGUUGAAAGGAAGGGGACAGCUUAGCCGCCAUAUGUAAGAAGUUAUUUGAAAAUACAUCUCUUUUUGUCACUAUUGUGCGACGUUUUGCCCCCAAUCCAUAGAUAAGGCUAAAAAUUUUUUCUUGGCGAAGUAGGAUUGCAUAUGCAAAUAGUGUUCUUCCCUUGUUAUCAACUCUCCAUACUAAUUCAGGGUUAGAUUUGAUUAGCUCCUGGAUAAACUCAACUAGACCAUUCUUUAUUGCAUCAUAAAUUAUUAAAUUAAACCUAAGAUUCCUGAGUUCUUCGUUUCCUAAUGUUGGUAUUUCCUUGAGUAGCAAUUUGAGGAGUUGCAAGGCUUGAGCAUGUCUCUUCUUCAUAUCUUUUAUUCUUUCAGGGACUACAAUUACAUGAAAAAGUUGAGAGAUCAAUACAAUAAUGAAUGUUUGAUUGAAUGUUAAUUGAUUAAGUAGUUGAUGGCUUACCAAGAUGUUUUAGGGAUCUCCAAAGCAGUGCGUGCGCUAAGUUGACAACUGUAAGAAAAAUACCAUAUUUAUAAUAAUAUUUUAGUUUGAAUUAAUAUGAAAAUGAAUUACUAUUAUUACUAUGAUACAACUUAUUAUAUUUCUAGAGUCAUUUAGGAUAUACCUUGUUUUCUUGUGCUUGUUCCACAACUUGAACCUUGCUUCCUAUGCGUUUGGACAUUCUCUUCAUCUUUGGGCUUUGCGGGGUUAAUAUCAUCUUGAUAGGGUUCAGGAACACCUUUCAUGCCAUUUUAUACUUAUGUUUUAGCUAUUUUUAAAGCAAUGUAUGGACACGUAUUCACUUUUGUACUUACAUGAGUAUAACCAUUGGUUCCAAAAUCCAAGUGUACUUCCACUCAGAAAUGCUGAAGUUUUAUUAGCCAGCAAACUUAUAGAUAAAUUUCUAUGAAAAUCCUCCAUAAAACCAAGUCUUCGGUACUCCUUCUCCUUCAACAGAUGCAGUGCUUCAUCUUUAUUAACAAAUUAUAAAACAAUUAUAAAUUAGGGUAUCAAAGAUAUAAACAAAAUUAAUUAAAUUUAUAUAACUUCAAGAUGCUAAAAGAUAUUAAUAAGUUUUAAAUUCGAAUGUAAAUUUAAGUUUUAAAAUUAGAAAUAUACCACUAAUGGUGGCUACGGGAAUCAAAUAGGCCCAAUUUUACAUCAAAUCCAUUAAUUUUGGUCUCUAAAAUCGAGAUUCAAGCAGGGGCAGAGCCAUGGCGGCAUAUUCUAAGCAAUUAACGAGUCAUGUGCUGAGAUUAGAGGAGGCUAUAAGAGGUGACUUGUUUGACCCCUAAUGGCAGAAUUGUUGUUUUCAAAAACAGGCCCCUAUAGGGCUGCAUCCUUUUGUGAAGGAUUGAAUCCCUAACAAGUUGAAAAGAGAGGAAAGGAAUGAGAAAUGAAAGAAACAACAGAAAAAGAAAGGGGGAGAAGUGAGAGAAAGAGAGUGACAAGAAGAAAGAUUGAUUAGUAUUGAUAAUUCUCAAAAAGCCUUGCAAGAUAGCUUCUUCUGAGAUAUAUAGGUCUCAAUAACUGCCCUAACAGAAUCAACUACAGUUAUAGCAGAAUCAGCUACUACUGUUAACAUCUUUCAACUACUUAACUAUCGGAGACCACCCUAACUAUUUUAUUAAUUCCACGUGUAAUCGCCAACCCUCUUUACUCUCCUUACUGGUCAUAAUAUUCCCCACUUCUUGAAAUCAUUAUUGUCCUCAGGAAUGAGUAAUAGAAACUGCAACACCAAUAAAACUGUUGCUUUCAUAUACAGUAAUUGAGCAACAGAAUUCAACAGACAAAAGCCAAAAGAAUCAAAACGUUGAAUUGGGUUUUUUUUUCCUGCACCAUAGGAGAUGAUUUUUUUUCCUUGCCUUCUUGAUAUUUCCUAUUCGUCCUCCAUAGAAAGUAAGAAAUCAUAGGAUAGAAUCCACCCUCUUUCCAUUUUAGCUGAACAAUAACCACAUUAGAGAGCUUUGACAACCCUGUUCUGUUUUCUCCUUAUCAACAGAUGCAUACUAAAACUCAAAUCUCUUUUCCUCGAAAAAAAAAAGACAACCGCCUUCACAUGUUUUUCUCUUCAGCUGAGUUGAUUGUCCUAUAUAUCCAUCAAAUCAAGAUUACUUUCAUCUAAUGUUGUAUUUAGUAGUGGAUGCUUGGCCCAUAGGAAUUGCAAGAUAAUGGCCAUGCUGAACCAGGCUGCUUGAAUUUACAUGGCCAGCUUCUGAAAUGUGUCCAAGCUUCGAAUCUUGAGAACUUAGAUUUUCAAGGAAAGCUUUAGAAAUGUUACCAUCCUCAAAACGUAGAUUAUUCUCAUCAUUUGCAACAUAAGCAUCAUUCUCAAAGCUUUGCUGAAUCAAAUUUUCAAGAAUUUGAAAUUUUGGUUCCUUCUUUUGAACCAACUUCUUCUCAUCUCCAUUCCCAUGAAAACUUUUCUUGUCAUCAAGAGAAACAGUCUCCUUAUUCUCGCUUGCCUUAGUCUUUGCAAAUUCCCUGCCAGUACCCCGGGAAGUUUCCAUUUCAUGGUUUCUUUCUUCUUCUAUAUCUUCAUCAUUCUUCUCCUUAGUGUCCUCUCUUACACUAAAUAUAUUAGCAAGAAAAUCUUGCUCCAUUUCAAUAAUGCCCUUGUCAUUCUUAUUGGGAGUUUUACUUGGAGCAUCUUGGUCUUCAUUUGGCUUGUUGGAAUUUCCAAAAAGGUAAUCUUGUCAGUUUUCCGUUCACUGACAUCAGUUUUCUUAGAUUUUCUCCAUUACCAAUCCCCUCGUCUUGCAUUCUCUUAAGAUGUUAAAGCACAUCCAAUAGGAUCUUUUGUUGCCAAGGUUGUAGUUCAUUGGACUGAUUGUAGCAGUGGUAGGUAAUAUCUCUUUAGCAUUCUGACACCAAACAGAGAAGUGGCCUUUGAAGCUUUGUAAUUGAUGAAUUACAAAAGGAAAAUGUGUUAGAUUUGUGAUUCAUAAUCUAGUGGGAUACUCUUUCCUAAGUAGAGUGUUAGAGUGGAGGAUUUAUUCCUCAACAGGUGGAGGACUAUAAAAGGUAGAUUUGUUGUUUAUAUGUUAUCCUUUGAAUAAGUUUCUUAAUUAGUUAGGACUAAAGGGUUUAAUGCUAUAAAUAGAGGUAUGGUUGAUAGAUUAUUUGGCUCUUCCCAAUCGAAGAGAAAGGCUUUGUUAUUUUUUCAGGUGCCCAGAACGCUAGAGGGGAGAAGCAAACCGAACCUCUAAUCGACUUAUGUACAUGUUCCUGCGGCUCGGAUGAGUAUUCUUGUUUAUAUCGCUACGACUAUCAACACUUUCUUUUUCCUAUCAACAAAACAUCCCCUUUUUCUUCGCUCUUCCGGAACCGGUGCAGAAAUGGGUGCUUUUUUUACGUUGUUUACCUUAGUUACUGGGGGGUCUUAGGGAAGAACUAUGUGGGGAACCUUUUGGGUGUGUGAUGCUCAUUUAACUUCUGUAUUCAUCUCGUUCCUUAUUUACCUGGGUGCAUUGCAUUUUCAAAAGCUUCCUGUCGAACUGGCUUCUAUUUCAAUCUGUGCCGGACCGAUGGAUAUACCGAUAAUCAACUCUUCAGUCAACUGGUGGAAUACAUCGCAUCGACCUGGAAGCUUUCUCUCAUACCAAUUUUUAAGGAUUGAAUCCCUGUUCCCUAACAAGCCAGAAAGAGAGGAAAGGAGAGAGAAACAGAAGAAACAGCAGAGAGAGAAAGGAGAGAAUUGCAGAGUAGACAGAAUUAGAGAGAGAGAGAGAGAGAGAGAGGAAGAAAGAAUGAUUGAUUAGUAUUAAUUUGUAUUUUCCUUAUUAAUCAUAACACCUUUUUUAUUUAUUUAUUUUUUAAUAAGCUAAUUUUUAUGAUUAAAAGUGGAAAAGCGUAACAGAAUAAGCCAUACUAAUCCAGGAUCUGGACAUCUUUUAGAUGGUUGUUUUCUCUUAAGCUUCUCUUGCAAGUCUUGAGCAAACUCAUCGUUGUUCUAGACUUUUUCUCUGCUUCUUUCACUAGUUUUCUUCUAUAUAGAUUUUCAUCAUGGUCCCCGUUUGCAAUAUAAUAGGCUCAUAGUUUGUCAGUUUUCAUCUGUAUAGUUUCUUAUCAUUGAUCUCUAAAGAAUUGGCCCAAUUAUUAAGGGGGAUGGCUCCACCCCUAGAUUCAAGAUCAGACCUAUUAGAAUUCUUUUAAUUCUAAUUCUAUACCUAUACUGAACUAUAAAUAAGCCUUCCUAAGAGAUUAUUAAAAAUAUUACAUUGAAAUAAUUUUGGUGUAAGAAAAGAACAGAGUGGCAUACCAUAAAGUCCAUCAGAGAUGAAGCAGUUUAGAAGUGUAGCACCAUUCUUAUCACCCCUUAGUGGACUGAGAUACUGAAUGGGAGUUUUCUCAAGAAGAUAAUGUAUUGUUUCUCUUUGGUCAAAUAAUGAAGCUUCGACGAUUGGAAGACGGCCAUCAUAAUCAUUUCCUUUGGUAACCAAAUUUUUAUUCUUUGCCAACAUCACCUUCAUCAUAUCUAUCCUUCCAUUCAAGGCUGCAAGAGUAAAGGCUGUAUUGCCAUAAUUGGAUGUCAUUUCCAAGUCUUCUUCUGACAUUAACUUCACCAACUGUUCUGCAAUCUUCCAUUUUCCAGACAAUACAGCCACUUGAAGAGCAUUAAGACCCAUCAAUGAUAUCUUUUUCCUAACAUCAUUAGGAUUCUUUGAUAGCCAUUCUUCAGCUGUAUUCCAAUCUCCCUUUUCUAUUGCUUUGCAUAGGGUUUUGUAUUGAAGGAUGCUUGAUGUUUCUACAAUAACAUAUGCAUAUUAUAUUUAAAAAGAAGAAUUCCCUUAUAUAUAUAUAUUUGUGUGUGUGCAUAUGUAUAUAUAUCUGUAUUUGUUGAUUAUCAAAAUGGAAAAUUUUUUAAAAUUUAAAUAGCAAGUACCUUCUUCCUUGUAAUGCUUAACCUUGGAGGGCUUCUCGGCCAGGUGCUCCCAAACAAAUUUGGCGGAAUCAACUUCACUGGGAUACUUCCUCAUCAAAUUUGAAAUGGUGUCUUCCUCACAAGAAUUUUCAAUGGCAUGUAAAGCC
rnacentral:lncRNA from 1 species